rnacentral:rRNA from 1 species
AAAAAGGAAAGAUUAAUACCCCCAUAAUAUAUUUGAUGGCAUCAUUAGAUAUUGAAAACUCCGGUGGAUAGAGAUGGGCACGCGCAAGAUUAGAUAGUUGGUGAGGUAACGGCUCACCAAGUCUACGAUCUUUAGGGGGCCUGAGAGGGUGAUCCCCCACACUGGUACUGAGACACGGACCAGACUCCUACGGGAGGCAGCAGUGAGGAAUAUUGGACAAUGGGUGAGAGCCUGAUCCAGCCAUCCCGCGUGAAGGAUUAAGGUCCUAUGGAUUGUAAACUUCUUUUAUACAGGGAUAAACCUACUUACGUGUAAGUAGCUGAAGGUACUGUAUGAAUAAGCACCGGCUAACUCCGUGC